AGGGGCGUGGUGUAAUGGCAGCAUGGUGGACUCCAAAUCCAUUGGUGGGGGUUCAAAUCCCUCCGCCCCUGCCA
rnacentral:tRNA from 1 species